rnacentral:rRNA from 1 species
GAUGAACGCUGGCGGCGUGCUUAACACAUGCAAGUCGAACGGGAUCCAAGGAGCGUUUUUCGUUUUUUGGUGAGAGUGGCGAACGGGUGAGUAACACGUGAGUAACCUGUCCUUUUCUUUGGGAUAAGCUCCUGAAAGGGUGUUUAAUACCUUAUGUUCUGUCUGCCUCGCAUGGGGUGGGUGGGAAAGAUUUUUUCGGUGAAGGGUGGGCUCGCGGUCUAUCAGCUUGUUGGUGGGGUGAUGGCUUACCAAGGCUUUGACGGGUAGCCGGCCUGAGAGGGUGGUCGGUCACAUUGGGACUGAGAUACGGCCCAGAAUCCUGCGGGAGGCAGCAGUGGGGGAUAUUGCACAAUGGGCGCAAGCCUGAUGCAGCGACGCCGCGUGGGGGAUGAAGGCCUUCGGGUUGUAAACUUCUUUUGCUCUGAACAAGGCGCAUCUGUGGGGUGUGUUGAGUGUAGGGGUUGAUUAGCGCCGGCUAACUACGUG